rnacentral:lncRNA from 1 species
GCAAUGCACGGCGCUCUCAGGCUCCGAGACGGGACCUAUAACCACACGACUGCCAUCGGCUACGGACAGAGAACGGCAGGGUGGGGAGCUCGCAGCCACAGAUCGCCAAUCUCCCGAGCAUCCGGAGGCAUCCACGCACAUCUGUAGGGCUUCUACACCCACAGAAAAAGCGGAGCGCAAAAGGAGGGAAAGAAAUCACGGAGGAGGGAAAGGAGAGAAGAUAAGCACCCUGGAGACAGAGGUGGGGGGGUCAGAAUGGGGACGACCACUGUCAGUAUAGAGGAGGUUCGGGCGCAAGAGGGUAAAGAGGAGCGAGAGGAGUCCAUAUUGGCCCUUCUGGGGAUCAUAGGCACCUUCUUGAACCUCUUCGUCAUUGUGUUUGUUUACAUCUACACAACUCUGUGAGGAGGAUCCACACGUGGAUGAGGUGAGGGGUGGGGUCCGACGAAGAUAUGACAGCAGGGUUGAUGUCUUACAGAGAAGAUGGUGGAAGAUGACACUGGGCAGCGUCAGUCAGAGACAGUGACGCUUACUCUUUGACCUCUGACCUAUUCGGAUAUACACAAACGCAAUGGAUGUCAGUUCA